AACGAACGCUGGCGGCAGGCCUAACACAUGCAAGUCGAGCGAGAACUUCGGUUCUAGCGGCGGACGGGUGAGUAACGCGUGGGAACGUGCCCUUUGCUACGGAAUAGCCCAGGGAGACUUGGAUUAAUACCGUAUACGCCCUUCGGGGGAAAGAUUUAUCGGCAAAGGAUCGGCCCGCGUUAGAUUAGGUAGUUGGUGGGGUAAUGGCCUACCAAGCCUACGAUCUAUAGCUGGUUUGAGAGGAUGAUCAGCCACACUGGGACUGAGACACGGCCCAGACUCCUACGGGAGGCAGCAGUGGGGAAUCUUAGACAAUGGGGGAAACCCUGAUCUAGCCAUGCCGCGUGAUCGAUGAAGGCCUUAGGGUUGUAAAGAUCUUUCAGUGGGGAAGAUAAUGACGGUACCCACAGAAGAAGCCCCGGCUAACUCCGUGCCAGCAGCCGCGGUAAUACGGAGGGGGCUAGCGUUGUUCGGAAUUACUGGGCGUAAAGCGCGCGUAGGCGGGCUGGAAAGUUGGGGGUGAAAUCCCGGGGCUCAACCCCGGAACUGCCUCCAAAACUUCCAGUCUUGAGUUCGAGAGAGGUGAGUGGAACUCCGAGUGUAGAGGUGAAAUUCGUAGAUAUUCGGAAGAACACCAGUGGCGAAGGCGGCUCACUGGCUCGAUACUGACGCUGAGGUGCGAAAGUGUGGGGAGCAAACAGG
rnacentral:rRNA from 1 species